rnacentral:rRNA from 1 species
UACGUAGGGUGCGAGCGUUGUCCGGAAUUAUUGGGCGUAAAGAGCUCGUAGGCGGCUUGUCGCGUCGGAUGUGAAAGCCCGGGGCUUAACUCCGGGUCUGCAUUCGAUACGGGCAGGCUAGAGUUCGGUAGGGGAGAUCGGAAUUCCUGGUGUAGCGGUGAAAUGCGCAGAUAUCAGGAGGAACACCAGUGGCGAAGGCGGUGCUCUGGGCCGGAACUGACGCUGAGGAGCGAAAGCGUGGGGAGCAAACAGG